UUCUUUUUUUUUUUUUUUUUUUAACUGUCUUUUUACCCAUACAUCCCUAAACCGUCCACUAGAUGUCAGUAGAAUCUCACCUGGAAUGAGAAUGGUAAUGGCGGCCUGCACAGCUCGGCGGAUGAUGUUAUCCAUGGCGAACAUCCAGUGAGGUUUGAUGUGAUGGUUUCUGAGCACCUUGUUUACCUAAGGGAAGGAAACAUAAACGCCAUUUAAUGAAACGCCUUCAUGUCGUGUGUGUGUGUGUGUUUUCUGACCGAGUCCUGGAAGCCGAAGAGCACCAGCUGGAUCUGGUUGAUGGAAGUAGAGUCAAAGUCCAGGUCCAGCUUGAGCUUGGAGAUGGUGGCCGCCAUGACCCGCCUCUCCGGGGAAUGAAUAAAGUCUCGGAGGAUGCAGAUGAUCUGCUUGAUGUGCUCCACGGACAGCUGGAGCUCCUCGCUGCCCUGAGCGUCAUCAAAGAUGUCAGCAAAGCUCGGCAGAUGUGGAAUUUGCGCAACACAAUGACCUAAACGGUUCAGCGAGGACAUGGGACAAUAAAAGGGUUGACUCCAGCCAGCCGCUUGGAGGUACCAAAGUCUGAAAUCUUCAGGACGCCGCUGUAGGUGUUGACCAGCACGUUGUCGCCCUGAUGGAGACGCAGCGGGUAGCGCAGCCCCUCCAGGAUCUGUCGGGUGUAGAAGAUGAUGGUGGCCUCCUUCAGGGGACCCCAUUUGGAGCGCAGCAAGGCCGACAAGCUCCCUGAAGACAAGAGUCCGAGUCGAGGAAGAUGUCCUUGUAGAUACGUCCGCACAGGCAGAACAUAUCGGGUGCCGGAUGCUCGCAGGACUGCAGGACCUGCAGCAUCACCCGGAGAGCUUGCUCUCUGUCGCCAGGACUGUUCCUCCUGCGAUUCAAGAAUUUAGGAUCAGAAAACUGGAAAGUCCGGUCAGACAGUCCAGACCUGCGACCGGGCAAAAGUGCAAUGGAGUCACAGUGUGAAUGAGACUUGUCCAGGGUGUACCCUGCCUUCCGCCCGAUUGUAGCUGAGAUAGGCUCCAGCGCCCCCCGCGACCCCGAAAGGGAAUAAGCGGUAGAAAAUGGAUGGAUGGCUGGAUAUUCUACAGAAGAAUAUUUAUUACUUUUUUUUUUCUUAAAGUACCUUUUUUUCUUCUAAGCUACGUAUGUGACCUCACUUGAAGCUUUGUAAGGUCAUGUUACCUUUAAACUCAAGAAAACUGAGGCUAAUCCAUCUUUUUUUUCUCUUUCUUUCCAAAUAACAAUUGAUAAGAGAACCUUUGAAGAACCGAAUCGUUAAGCAGAAUCGAAAGUGAACUCAGAACUGGAAAAAUCGUAUCAA